GGUGACUCAGUGGUAGAGUGCUUGCCUUGCAUGCAUGAGGUCCUGGGUUCGAUUCCUCAGCACCA
rfam:Dipodomys ordii contig_39084, whole genome shotgun sequence.